UUGUCAAUGAGACAAUGAGAUUAUAUCCUCCAGUACCACUUCUAUUGCCUCAUUAUUCAACGGAAGAUUGUACUGUGGGAGGAUAUGAUGUACCAAAACAUACAAUGCUUCUUAUCAACGCUUGGGCGGUCCACCGUGAUCCCAAAGUAUGGGAUGAUCCUGAAAAGUUCAAGCCAGAGAGAUUUGAGGCUACACAAGGGGAAACAGAAAGGUUUAAUUACAAACUUAUACCAUUUGGAAUGGGGAGAAGAGCAUGUCCUGGUACUGAUAUGGGAUUACGAGCCGUUUCGUUGGCGUUAGGUGCUCUUAUUCAAUGCUUUGAGUGGCAAAUUGAGGAAGAGGAAAGUUUGGAAGCAAGUUAUCAUGCUAGAAUGAGUAUGCAGAACAAGCCUUUGAAGGCUAUAUGCACGCCGCGCAAAGAUCUUGUUGACCUUCUGUCCCAACUUUGAGACACUUUUAUGUAUACUAAGAUCACUCUGCUGCAAAUGUUGUAAAGUUGAAUCAUGAUUAUGUGACAAAUAAGAAAAUAGAUGCAAGGUUAUGUAAUGCUCAAGAGAAGAUUGAUUUGUUAUAAGGUGUUUUGGCUCUCUUAGUAGUAUUUUGGGAAAUAA
rnacentral:misc_RNA from 1 species